rnacentral:misc_RNA from 1 species
AAUGUUGUUUUGACUCAUUCCUCCGGCCAGCUGUAAACAUCAGUUCCUCCGAUCAGGUCACGGGACACGGCAGUCUGUGCAAGAUGAAGUCUUUUCUCCUCUUUUUUACUCUCUUGGGCCUUAUGGCAGCGGCCCAUGCACUUGGAAAUGAUCCAAUUAUAUCAGACAACUGCACUGUAAUAGACAACUGUGAGUUAUGUCUGAACAGUUCCUGUCACUGGCUGCAAUGUAUCAAUGAUGAUCCAAGUUGUCAGGAUAACCCAGAGUCUGAAAUGUGUCAUGAUGUCCCUUGUACCAUUCCCACAACUGUAGCCCCACCGACUGAACCUCCAACAGAGCCGCCAACAACUGAGGCCCCCGCCACUACAACCCCUGCCCCAACAGAACCUCCGACUCCACCACCCACAGAGCCUCCGACCACAGAAGCCCCCACUGAACCCCCUACUGAGGCACCUACAACACAGCCUCCGACCACAGAAGCCCCCACCAGGCCCCUACUGAGGCACCUACAACACUGCCACCAGCGACAACCACUGAGAAACCCUGCCCGACUCCAGAUGGAAGGCAUUUUGAUGCUCCAAGCUUCUUUGGUGGCAUGGUUCUUGCUGUGGGCAUCCUGGCAGUAGCCUACGCUGCUUGGCGUUUCUACAAGUCUAGGAAUGAGCGUAACUACCAUACCUUGCAAACUGUGUACUGAUGGAACUGCAGGAAACAGUCCACAUGUAGCUGGCUGGACCGGAGUAGUGAAGCUAGUGCCUACAAUUGUCCUUUGAGUAAAUGUCAAACUCCAACUUUCAGAUUGGAAAAGGUAACCACUUGUCACAGAAUAGAAGUUAGAGUAAAUAAUAAUAAUAAAAAAAA